rfam:Valsa mali var. pyri strain SXYL134 contig2878, whole genome shotgun sequence.
CUUCCGAUCUUCCUGCCAGUAGCAUAUGCUUGUCUCAAAGAUUAAGCCAUGCAUGUCUAAGUACGCACGGCCGGUACAGUGAAACUGCGAAUGGCUCAUUAAAUCAGUUAUGGUUCCUUUGGUCGCUCGCUCCUCUCCUACUUGGAUAACUGUGGUAAUUCUAGAGCUAAUACAUGCCGACGGGCGCUGACCCCCUUCGCGGGGGGGAUGCGUGCAUUUAUCAGAUCAAAACCAACCCGGUCAGCCUCCCUCCGGCCCCGGCCGGGGGGCGGGCGCCGGCGGCUUUGG